rnacentral:rRNA from 1 species
GCAAGUCGAACGCACCUUCGGGUGAGUGGCGCACGGGUGAGUAACGCGUGGGAACGUACCUUUUAGUUGGGAAUAGCCCCGGGAAACUGGGAAUAAUACCUGAUACGCCCUUCGGGGGAAAGAUUUAUCGCUAAAAGAUCGGCCCGCGUGACAUUAGAUUGUUGGUGGGGUAAUGGCCUACCAAGACUACGAUCCAUAGCUGGUCUGAGAGGAUGAUC